rnacentral:lncRNA from 1 species
UAGACUCAAUUUUUUAAACGAAAUCCUAAAAGAUAAGAAGAAGGGCUAGACCAAGAUGACCACAAUCAACACCACACAACAAUUUGACCCUAUUAGUCUUAGAGCUAAGUGAGGUUUAGUAGCUUCUUAAAUCUAGUUGCACAGAGACUUAUCAGGUUAAAAAAGUUUCUGAAAUUCUCUCUAGAUUAGACAGCUACUAAUCUCCCUUUCAGAUUAAGCUUGAGCUUACCAGUUAAGUGAUCCAGUAACCAGUGACCAGAAAAGUCCCGGGGUGUGCAGUGGU